CCGCGUGCUGCCUACCCUACGCGCCCAGCGGCGCCUUCUCGCCAGCGCCAUGCCGGGCCGGAACCCAGUGGGCCUCCACAUCCCGGCGGGCCGCCAGCUGGGAGCUGUUUAUUUAUGGCUGCAAAUGUGUGUGUUCAAGAGAGAGAGGGAAUUGAUCUUUGCCUGGACUUAAAGAUGGAGCCGAAGAAGCUGGAGGGAAUUUGGGCUUGUGCGUCUGGCCCAGACCCUGUGCGCCGAGCCCGAGGUCUAUCCUCCCCGCACCUCUCACCUCGCGACCUUGCAGGAAUCCGCGGGCCCGGAUGCUGCCCAGCUGACCCUCCUGCCCCGGGCCUGGCUGCAGAGAAAGUCUUCGGGCAGGAGGCCAUCCUGUUCCUGUCUUUAAAAUGAGCACAAUAAAAGGGGGCAAAUCCUCGAACGCGAACCUGAUCUCAUGUCACAGAAGCAACUUGCCAUGAAAUCCGCUAAUGCGCUGCGACUCGCCCACCAGGGCAGCGUGCGGCGGCCGAACUGCACCUGCGUUUGUGAGCCUUGUAGAAAUGGAGCCCACCGGAUUCCCUCACCCGGAGAAAUGCCCAAACUGAAACUUGACUACACUUCCCUGGGCUGGUUCACGGUUUCAUAAUCUCCCAGGUUUGCUGGCUGUGUCACCAAAUCCAAGCCAAACCUGCUAUAAACAUGAUCACAGGCCACUGACCUCGCAGCACUGACCGAUAACUCGGUGGCAAAAUCAGCUCCUCUGGUCAGAGGUUAUUAAAGCAGCGGCUGAAUUCGUGUUUGUUUUUUUGAAGUGGUCAGAAAAACGUAGUCUUCUUAAACCUACAAAAACAGUCAAACACAUUUGCAAAUGUGCUUUACUUGUAUUGGUUCGAGUGCUGGAAGCUGUCUGGCGGUGAGCUUUUUCGUUGCGUGUGGUUUAUGCAGAGCACCCGGGAUGUUUUUC
rnacentral:lncRNA from 1 species